rnacentral:lncRNA from 1 species
UAAAGAUUCAAGGGUUAGGCUAUCCGCCAUCGCCAGUGGUGAAAUCCGGCAUGGCGGUGGGGACAUUUCAUAGGUGAAGUAAUUGAAUAGCGUUUCGCUCCGAGCGCAUUAUCUUUUGUUUAACACGAUCCAGGACGCCAUCACCUUGCCUUCACCCACGUAUGGAUUGGGCCUCUAAAUCCCCAAGGCCCUUUCUUUUAUU